rnacentral:ncRNA from 1 species
CACAAGGUCUUGGUCUUAAACCCUUUAUUACUUACACCCCUAAUUAUACAUGCAAGCCUCACCAUUACGGUGAAAUAGCCCACUAAAACAUUAGUAGGAGCAGGCAUCAGGCACCAGCCCACAACGCCAAGCACAAAUAAGCCACACCCCCACGGGUCCACAGCAGUAGAUAAUAUUAGGCCAUAAGCGCAAGCUUGACCCAGCAAGGGGUUACUAGGGCCGGUUAAUAUCCGUGCCAGCGACCGCGGUUAUACGACAGACCCAAAAUAAUAAUAACGGCGUAAAGCACGACCAACAAUUAGUCUAAACAUUAGGAACGAAGCUAAUCUGGGCUGUAAAAAGCCAUAAGUCACACUAAUCACACCCUAAUACCAAACAACUUCCACUCGUGAAAGUCAGGGCACAAACUAAGAUUAGAUACCUUACUAUGCCUAACCAUAACAAAACAAUCAAAUAACCAAUUGUUCGCCAAAUAACUACGAGUAAAAACUUAAAAUUUAAAAGACUUGACGGUAUCUCAUAACAACCUAGAGGAGCCUGUCCAAUAACCGAUACCCCACGAUCAACCCAACCCACUCUAGCCGAACAGUCUAUAUACCGCCGUCGCCAGCCUACCUUGUGAAAGAAACGAAGUGAGCUAAAAAGCCACCACACUAACACGACAGGUCGAGGUGUAACUUAUGAGGGGGUAAAGAUGGGCUACAUUUUCUAACACAGAAAACACGGAUUAACCUAUGAAAUAAGAAACUAAAGGAGGAUUUAGCAGUAUAUUAGGAACAACAUACCUAAUUGAAACUAACGCAAUGAGGUGCGUACACACCGCCCGUCAUCCCUGAGUACCAAAAAUAAAACAUAUAUAAUAAAAACUAACCACCAAAACAGGGCAAGUCGUAACAUGGUAAGCGUACUGGAAAGUGUGCUUAGAUA